rnacentral:lncRNA from 1 species
UUUCAAAAUAAAUUAAUAUUUAUUUCCAAAUCACAAUGUUUUCAAAAUAAUAUCACGGAUACACAUUUUUCUGCUUAUUUUUGACUAAUUUUAAAAUAGAAACUUUGUAUUUCAGCCAAUUCUUUUCUACCGAAAUUGUCUCUUUGGGAAGUACACAAUUCUUCAUGAGUCACAAAAAGUUAAAUUCGUCAUAUAUCCAAGUAUCAAAAUUAUGAGGUAAAUUGAAUUUUAGUAUUUUAAGGUUGGUAUGAUGUGGCAUUUUCUGUAUGUGAUUUUAAAGUAUGUGCAGAUUUAUAGUAUAUAAAGUAAACAUUUAUAAAUUCAACUAUUUUUGCCAAACAGUAAAAUACUUUGGUUUAAAUAUUUCUAUUGAUUCACAUCCGUGAGGAAAAUGAAAACCAUACAUAUAUUUCAGCAGAAGGUAUUUAAUAUAUGGGGUACCUGGGUGGCUCAGUGGGUUAAAUCUUCUGCCUUCGGCUCAGGUCAUAGUCAGGGUCCCUGGAUGACCCCCGCUUUGGGCUCUCUGCUCAGCAGGGAACCUGAUGCAGGGCUCGAUCCCUGGAUACUGGGACCAUGA